rnacentral:rRNA from 1 species
GGUCCAGACUCCUACGGGAGGCAGCAGUAGGGAAUUUUGCGCAAUGGGGGAAACCCUGACGCAGCAACGCCGCGUGAUUGAUGAAGCCCUUCGGGGUGUAAAGAUCUGUCAGUGGGGACGAAACUUGACGGUACCCACAGAGGAAGCAUCGGCUAACUCCGUGCCAGCAGCCGCGGUAAUACGGGGGAUGCAAGCGUUGUCCGGAAUCAUUGGGCGUAAAGAGUUCGUAGGUGGCACGUUAAGUCUGGUGUUAAAUGCAGAGGCUCAACCUCUGUUCGGCACUGGAUACUGGCGAGCUUGAAUGCGGUAGAGGUAAAGGGAAUUCCUGGUGUAGCGGUGAAAUGCGUAGAUAUCACGCAGAACUCCGAUUGCGAAGGCAGCAUACCGGCGCUCAACCGACGCUCAUGCACGAAAGUGUGGGUAUCGAACAGGAUUAGAUACCCCAGUA